GCGCCGGUGGUGUAAUGGCGUACCCGCCCGGUCAGAGGGAGGUGCGGGUUCGAGUCCCGCCUGGCGCU
rnacentral:tRNA from 1 species